rnacentral:rRNA from 1 species
UUGUCCUACGGGAGGCAGCAGUGAGGAAUAUUGGUCAAUGGGCGCGAGCCUGAACCAGCCAAGUAGCGUGAAGGAUGACUGCCCUACGGGUUGUAAACUUCUUUUAUAAAGGAAUAAAGUGAGGCACGUGUGCCUUUUUGUAUGUACUUUAUGAAUAAGGAUCGGCUAACUCCGUGCCAGCAGCCGCGGUAAUACGGAGGAUCCGAGCGUUAUCCGGAUUUAUUGGGUUUAAAGGGAGCGUAGGUGGAUUGUUAAGUCAGUUGUGAAAGUUUGCGGCUCAACCAUAAAAUUGCAGUUGAAACUGG